UUCCGGUUGAUCCUGCCGGACCCCACUGCUAUCGGGAUGGGACUAAGACAUGCUAGUCAAGCGCCUUCCAGCCAUGUGGGAGGUGCGGCGUACAGCUCAGUAACACGUGGCUAACCUGCCCUUAGGAUGAGUGCAACCCCGGGAAACUGGGGCUAAUCCUCAAUAGGUGAAGAACACUGGAAUGUGUCUUCGCCCAAAAGGCGUCAGAUCAUGCUUCUGGCGUUGCCUAAGGAUGGGGCCGCGACCGAUCAGGUUGUUGGUGAGGUAAUGGCCCACCAAGCCUAUAACCGGUGCGGGCCGUGAGAGCGGGAGCCCGGA
rnacentral:rRNA from 1 species